GGUAAGAUGGCUGAGGGGUAAGCGGCGGAUUGUAGUCCCGCAUACAGAGGUUUAAGUCCUCUUCUUAUCA
rnacentral:tRNA from 1 species